GGCGAUAUAGCUCAGCUGGUUAGAGCGUGGGAUUCAUAACCCCAAGGUCGUGCGUUCGAUCCGCACUAUCGCCA
rnacentral:tRNA from 1 species